GCGCCCACAGUGUCCACUAGUGUGAAUGAAACACACUGAUAUGCUCUUUCUCACACAUGAAAAACUCACAUCUGCAAAGCGCUUUCCAUACUUACUGCGUUCAAUUUGAGAAGAAAAUUUUACUGCACAUAGACAAAGAAAAGCGGACAAAGUGCGUAUAGCGUUGCGUGUGGGAUUGGCGGGACACUUCCUGACAGCCAAUGGUUGUGGAUUGGAAGGACUUUCUAGUAAGGGAAGUGCGCAAAACGGAUGAGUUUUGGUUUUUCCGGUUUUUCUUCUCAAAUAGAACGCAGCAUAAGCGCUGAAUUCUGCCGAAACGCAGCCAUUGGCUACCAGCGGAGUGUUCCGCACGCUAUCCCCACUUUUGCUCGCUUUUCUACCUUUAUGCGCAAUAGAAUUUUCUUUUCAAUGUAAACCACGUGGAUGUAAAAAGAAGAAGAGUUUCUUAUUUGCACAAAACCAAAGAAAGAAGAAGAGAUAAAGAAAUCUAAUACAACACUUUGUGAAGAAACGGAAACAUCAGAAAUUAAAACAAAAUGGAAAAGUUGGAAUCACUAAUUCAUGAAUGGGCUUGGGAUACAAAUGUUGUUAACUCCUCUUGUUGUUCGAGUGGAGUUAUGUUUUCGGAUGAAAACUCAAACGUUGUGAUUACUAGUUCGGAGAAAACUGUGUUAAAAGGUGAUAAGCCAUUCGAAAAAGGAAGACAUCACUUUUGGUCGAUUUAUAUAACGGGACUACGAGAUUAUAAGAUAAUAAGUCUAACUUUUGUAAGUGACUGUUCACACAGUGUUUUGUUUUGUGUUACACGCACUAAAUGUGUUUUGUUUCGUGCAUAUGCGCGCAUUUAUCCAUACACGUCACGUAUACUGUAGAGUAGAUCAUGCGUGUAUAUGCAUGAAACGGUACGUGUUUUAUAUCGCGUCUAAUCUUUCGCGUUUUGAACUUUAAAACGCAAUAUUUUGGAAACCGUGAAGCUAAGCUUUCUGAAAUUCAACUAUAAUAUAGAAUACAUCUAGGAAUACAUUUUGACACUUGGACUGGUAUUUUACGCUUUUUAUAUAAUCGACGUCCAUUAGAUAUUAUGUUUAGAAAUCUGAACAAUGAUACAUUUUAUCCAGUAAUAGAACAUCUUAACAAUAUAAUAAGAUGUUACAUAAGAGCUCCUCGAGAGACACCUACCAAUAUAAAAUUAACUUAUAGCGUGUCGAUGCCAGUAUCUUUACAAAGUGCCUGCCUAAAAGUCUUAACACCUUCGCAAAAACAGAUACUGCGGAAAAAGUUUCCUGGUUUGCGUCAUCUUUGUCAAUAUGCUACUUUGCUUCAGAAAUCACAUCAAUGAUUGUAACAUAUGCUUACGUAAGAACAGAUAUAUGUUUUUUGCAUCUGAAUGAUUAUGCAAUUAAGAAUUAAUAAACAAUAAAAAAAGUUUUUCGGAA